rnacentral:rRNA from 1 species
AGUGAACGCUGGCGGUAGGCCUAACGCAUGCAAGUCGAACGGCAGCACAGUAAGAGCUUGCUCUUACGGGUGGCGAGUGGCGGACGGGUGAGGAAUACAUCGGAAUCUACUUUUUCGUGGGGGAUAACGUAGGGAAACUUACGCUAAUACCGCAUACGACCUACGGGUGAAAGCAGGGGAUCUUCGGACCUUGCGCGAUUGAAUGAGCCGAUGUCGGAUUAGCUAGUUGGCGGGGUAAAGGCCCACCAAGGCGACGAUCCGUAGCUGGUCUGAGAGGAUGAUCAGCCACACUGGAACUGAGACACGGUCCAGACUCCUACGGGAGGCAGCAAUGGGGAAUAUUGGACAAUGGGCGCAAGCCUGAUCCAGCCAUACCGCGUGGGUGAAGAAGGCCUUCGGGUUGUAAAGCCCUUUUGUUGGGAAAGAAAAGCAGCAGGUUAAUACCCCGCUGUUCUGACGGUACCCAAAGAAUAAGCACCGGCUAACUUCGUG